rnacentral:rRNA from 1 species
GACAGAGGGUGCAAGCGUUGUUCGGAAUCAUUGGGCGUAAAGCGCGCGUAGGCGGUCAUUUAAGUCGGACGUGAAAGCCCAGGGCUCAACCCUGGAAGUGCAUCCGAAACUAGAUGACUUGAGUCCCGGAGAGGGUGGUGGAAUUCCUGGUGUAGAGGUGAAAUUCGUAGAUAUCAGGAGGAACACCCGUGGCGAAGGCGACCACCUGGACGGUGACUGACGCUGAGGCGCGAAAGCGUGGGUAGCAAAC